ensembl:lncRNA
UUACAACCUAUUAGUCAAACCCUUUUGCCCAGAUCUGAAAAAAACAAAGAGCAAGCGGGUUGAUUGAGUGAGAUUAUGGAGAAGUUUGAUGGUCUGCAAGCCAGUUUAUACUGCUGACUGGUGUAAUAUAUUCUGGAUAUUCCUGUUUAGGAGAUUUAUUUGUUGAAUGCAGAUUAACCAGCAGACAAAUACAAACUGGCCGGGCCAUUCCUCAAGGUGCUGCUGCCGCUGAAUCAAAAUUAGUUCAAGGAAGCCGAGGUUCCAGGUGAAAUCUACAACACUAAAGUUAGAGAGCACACCAGCCUCACUUAAUUUUUUUCUUCUUCUUCUUCUUUUUUUUUUUUUGAUGUUUUGCCUCAGGCCAAUUCUACUAAAGAGAAGUAAUUUGGCUUAUCUUAUCCCAGAGACCUAGCAGCUGCUUUUUAUUCUUUUUUGUGAGGUCUUUUUUCUCAUUUAGUCCAACAAAGAUUGUCCUCAUAGAUUGACCUUCUCUGUGCCUGCAGGCCGUUGCCCUCAUGCCAGUAACUAGAUAACACACUCUAUCAGAGAUUUGAGAAAAUCAUUGGGAAAGCAGUGGGGCUGAUAGUGGCAUCAAUCCUAACCUGACACCAGGCUGGGUCAACCAUUUAUCUCUCCACACCGCCUCUGGUCACAACAGCGGCCAUCUUGCUCUGCUACAUCCUUCUUUAAUAACCUUGGCCAUGUCUCUUUACAGACUGAGAGGAUAAGGCGUAGCGGCACUCCUAGUGCCUUGUCUGAUCGCCGCCGCUUUGUUUGCAUUUAAAACCGCCGAAAAUCACAUUCAAACGAAUUCACCGUGUACAUUUCAGAUCGACAAGAUUCUCCAGUACAAGCGCUCCAACGAGUAGACAAGCAAACACGCGCGCGCACGCACAAGAAAGACGCAUCUAACAAGAGGGCCAAAGCUCACAAACUCGUUAGCAUAGCAGUUAAUGGUGACUCCGCUGUCAUUAAUUCCCCACGGUGUUUGACUUAAAUGCUUCUAUAUUGGUGAAGUGAGCGCUUCCCAGAGGCCUCCUAGAGCUGAGAUCAUUGUUUUUCACUUAUUAACAAUGAACUUAUGAUCAGAGCGCCACAAGGCUCCUAAAAAUGCCCCAUAGGAUCAUUACAGUCCCUGUGUGUGUACCUAUGUGUGUGUGUGUUUGAUACCAAUGAGGCCGGCAGAGCAGCAGUGUGUCCGAGGCUCAUCUCGGUGCUCUGUGGCGCAGCCAGGAUGAGUGGGGAGGUUAAAUGGGGCGUCAUCAAUCUCAAUGAAGUGCAAUUAUUUUCUCACUUAUUAAUCAUUGCCGGCUAAUAGCUAGUGGCAAAGCGGAGCCAACCAUUUGUCAAACUUAGCAGAUUUCUGUAAUUUUGUUUCCCCGUUUCCCUCUAAUGUUUGUGUAGACUUUGGCAGAUAUCUAUGGAGGGCUGCAAUAAGUCUGUGCCUCCAAGUAUCU